rnacentral:tRNA from 1 species
GCAGAUAUAGUUUAAUAAAAACAUUAGAUUGUGAAUCUAAAAACAAAAGAUCAAACCUUUUUAUCUACC